GUGGGAGUAUGUUUUUUGUAAAAUAUUUAACGAUAUAUUCUGUUGAAUUACAAUCUCGCAACAUUCGCAAUGAAAUACAUUUUAUGGGUCGUAAGCGUGUUUGCAUUAUUACUUUCUGUGUUACCACCUAUAACGUGUGUGGAUGGAGAUAAUGUCGAGCAGGACCACGAAGCAAGCCUUAUAGUACUGCCACCAAUCAUAUUAGGAUACGAUGAACUCAUUGAAACACCAAAGGAGCAAAAAACCGAACAACCGAAAGAAAAAUCUGAAGAGCCUAAGGAAAUACCUAAUGAGGAAAAUUCCCAAAUCGUUGAAAGCGAAUACUUAAACGACAAAACAACACACUCCACGCCCUCUACUUCGUUUGGCCGAAUGAUUCAACGAAAUUGGAUUUGAUACAUUUUUAAACGAAAAAUGUUUAAAUAGCACAUUUAAGUAUGAGUACUUACUUUGAUACAAUUUUUUUAUAUAUGAUACAAUGUAUUAUUGAUUUAAUUUUCAAACUAUGAUAAAACUAUUGAAUAUAGCUGUUAUAUUUUUGGA